AAACCCCCAGGACUCAGCCUCACAGAUGGCUAACCGGCUUUCAGGACAAGAACUUGGAACUUGCUGAGCUGGGGAUGGUGGGAGUAAAAGAGUUGUAACCUUCCCUUCUGCUCCCCAAACAAUGUGAGAGAAGAAACCAUUGGACGCCACUCUCUCCUGUUAGCCCAACUGCCAGAGCGAAAAAGUUGUGACGUCACUGGCUUACCCAGCAAGCUAACUGUGGGAGGUGGGAGUAAAAGAGCUGUAACCUUCUCUCCCACUCGAGGAACUACCCUCCUGCUUGACAAAUUACAGGAGCGAAAAAGCCACGUAUCAGAGGAGACUUCAGGAAAAUUAAGCCUGACAGUCUCUCCAAACAACUUUGUGCACAUAUUAAGUAAAGGAGGAGGUACUGCUUACACCUAAAACCUAAUCUCAGAUGAAUUAUGGAGUGAAUAUAACUACUACUGAGCUAAAUGUUAAAAACAAAUGUGUAAGAUCUCAUAAAGACAAUACAUGCAAUAUUUCAUUUACACAUUACGUUUAUUAUUUAUGUGUGCAU
rnacentral:lncRNA from 1 species